rnacentral:rRNA from 1 species
UACAGAGGGGGCAAGCGUUAUUCGGAAUUAUUGGGCGUAAAGGGCGCGUAGGCGGCCUGGCAAGUGGAAGGUGAAAUCCCUCGGCUUAACCGAGGAACUGCCCUCCAAACUGCUUGGCUUGAGACCGGGAGAGGUGAGUGGAAUUCCCAAUGUAGCGGUGAAAUGCGUAGAGAUCGGGAAGAACAUCAGUGGCGAAGGCGGCCUGCUGGGCUGUUGCUGACGCUGAGGCGCGACAGCGUGGGGAGCAAACAGG